CCNCGUGAGGGAUGAAGGCUCUAGGGUUGUAAACCUCUUUAGGCAGGGAAGAAAAUGACGGUACCUGCAGAAUAAGGUCCGGCCAACUAUGUGCCAGCAGCCGCGGUAAU
rnacentral:rRNA from 1 species